rnacentral:rRNA from 1 species
UAACGCGUGAGGAACCUGCCUCGGAGAGGGGAAUAACACUCCGAAAGGAGUGCUAAUACCGCAUGAUGCAGUUGGGUCGCAUGGCUCUGACUGCCAAAGAUUUAUCGCUCUGAGAUGGCCUCGCGUCUGAUUAGCUAGUAGGCGGGGUAACGGCCCACCUAGGCGACGAUCAGUAGCCGGCCUGAGAGGGUGAACGGCCACAUUGGGACUGAGACACGGCCCAAACUCCUACGGGAGGCAGCAUG